rnacentral:tRNA from 1 species
AGGAUAAUAGUUAAUUAUAAUAUUUGAUUUGCAUUCAAAAGGUGUUGAAUAUUCAACUUUUCUUA